AUUCCGCCGAAUUUUGAAAGAGGGCGGGAACAAACGCAUUUGAAAAAAUAUAGUUACUUCCAGCAAGGAAAAAUGUUUUUAUAGGCUUAUAAAGAGACUGAGCGCAUAGGCGACAAAGUAAUAUAUUAAAUUACAGACUAUUUUGUCUGACCAGCGUAUUUUCUAAUACGCAACCGAAAAUAAUACGAAAUACGAAAUCGAAAUCAACUUAUUUAUUUAUUUAUUAAUUUAUUUAUUUAUUUAUUAAACUUCGCCACUUAGAACAAACAAGUGGCAGAGACACCACAACAGUAAACACCAAUUACUGUGGGCCC